AAUUUAGGUGUUUUAACUAAGAUGAUCUACACCAAAAACCUUUUCGAAUUAGGUGGUAAAAGUCUUAAGUGGUGACGAUACUUUAAGAGAAAUUUUAUGGAAAAAUAAAAAGAUGCCGAAU
rnacentral:rRNA from 1 species